rnacentral:rRNA from 1 species
GGCUCAGGAUGAACGCUGGCGGCGUGCUUAACACAUGCAAGUCGAACGAAGCACUUUGAACAAUCCUCCGGGUGCGUUUCUUGUGACUGAGUGGCGGACGGGUGAGUAACGCGUGGGUAACCUGCCUCAUACAGGGGGAUAACAGUUAGAAAUGACUGCUAAUACCGCAUAAGCGCACAGUACUGCAUGGUACAGUGUGAAAAACUCCGGUGGUAUGAGAUGGACCCGCGUCUGAUUAGCUAGUUGGUGGGGUAACGGCCUACCAAGGCGACGAUCAGUAGCCGGCCUGAGAGGGUGAACGGCCACAUUGGGACUGAGACACGGCCCAAACUCCUACGGGAGGCAGCAGUGGGGAAUAUUGCACAAUGGGGGAAACCCUGAUGCAGCGACGCCGCGUGAGCGAUGAAGUAUUUCGGUAUGUAAAGCUCUAUCAGCAGGGAAGAAAAUGACGGUACCUGACUAAGAAGCACCGGCUAAAUACGUG